CCGACAUUACUUGAACAGGAUCUGUUUAAUAGGAUUGUACUUAUGUAUCCUUGAUCUCCAAGGAGAACAGAGGAACCCUAGCCUGGGGGAUUAAUCAUGACUCUGCUAUCAGAGCGUGAUUAACAGCUGAUAGUUCCUCGGUUCCAUCCAGCGGUAGAGGAUCGCUCUCGGUCGGUUUCACUGGCUGGGAUGGUCUCCCUUUUUUUAUUCU